rnacentral:rRNA from 1 species
UACGGAGGGGGCUAGCGUUGUUCGGAAUUACUGGGCGUCAAGCGCACGUAGGCGGCUUUGUAAGUUAGAGGUGAAAGCCCAGGGCUUAACCCUGGAAUUGCCUUUAAGACUGCAUCGCUAGAACCGUGGAGAGGUGAGUGGAAUUCCGAGUGUAGAGGUGAAAUUCGUAGAUAUCAGGAGGAACACUUGUGGCGAAAGCGGCUCACUGGACCACAACUGACGCUGAGGCGCGAAAGCUAGGGGAGCAAACAGG